CUGGAUAUUAGUCAUUCGCCAGAUCUCAGAGGGCCUUUCAUAUAGGAAAAAACGUGGUUCCUGCAGAUGGUUGCUGUCCUCAGAUGCCAGAAAGGCUGAAGAAGCCUGCCAUGAAACUAAGUUUCUGGCCAAUGUUCCAGCCUAAUCUCAGACCCUGGGAAAACAGGAGCACCCCUUCAUCUCCUCCUGCAGGGAUGAAGUUGUUUGCAGUAAACAUGGAUGCUCCAACAGAACCUGCCCAAGUCUCUGAUGGAAGCCAAAGUUUCCACACAGGGAUGUCCCUCAAAUCUCUGAGACAGACACAUGCUAACCAAGACUGCUUUGGCCACAUACCACUGGGACUCUGUGUUGGAGUCAAACAGUUA